UUUCAGAUGCCGAAAACCGUUAGCUAGCUAAGACCACAAACGGUAAUCGAAACGUCAUUUCUCUAUCUUCACGUAUUCUGGCCUGGUUGCGCUCUUUAUUUCUCCCUCUGCAGAACAAAAUGGCAGCAGCAAAACUGCCAAUAUCUAUAGUCUAUAGAACAGUAAAAUCAAUGGCGAAUGAUCGCACCAUGCUUCGUUCUCCUCCCUCGAAACCGCAGCAGCGCAGAACCAUAUCAGCCUUCGAAGCUCGCGUCUCUCUCCUCUUCGCGCUCGCUUCACAAUCUGCUUCUCUCUCUCAACGAGUUGUGGCUGAUUUUGUUGCUGAAACUAGCAAGUAUAUUGUUCCGAAGCAAUUAGAGAGUCGAAAUCUCGAAGAAGCUUUAAUGACUGUUCCGGACCUUGAGACCGUGAAUUUUAAGGUGUUGAGUCGGAAGUCUGAGUAUGAGAUCCGAGAAGUUGAGCCUUAUUUUAUAGCAGAGACAACCAUGCCUGGGAAAGAAGGCUUUGAUUUCUUUGGACCUUCUCAGUCCUUCAACGUGUUAGCUGAGUAUCUGUUCGGUAAGAAUAUACCAAAUGAGAAGAUGGAGAUGACAACACCUGUUAUCACUCGUAGGACUUCUGACGGAGAGAGAAUGGAAAUGACGACCCCUGUGAUUACAAGGAGGGUGGGGAGUAAAGAGUGGAAGAUGUCUUUUGUCAUGUCUUCAAAAUAUGGUUCCAAUCUGCCCGAACCAAAGGAUUCAAAUGUGAGGAUCACUGAGGUGCCGAAGAAAAUAGUUGCAGUUGCUGCCUUUUCAGGUUAUGUUACUGAUGAAGAAGUCAAGCAACGCGAGUCAAAACUGAGAGAUGCGUUGAAGAAUGACUUGGAGUUUGGAGUAAAAGUGGGAUCAGAAGUGGAAGUUGCACAGAGUGGCUGUGUACUAAAGUCAUAGAAAAUACUGCUUGGACUUCCGUAAGAGAUAAGCAUAAUUCUUAUGGUUGCCAAGGGGGUUUAUAGGAUUUGUUGAAGGUGUAAACGUACUAAUCUUUCCUCAAAGUAGAUUAGAUUGAUUUUGUUUUGGAACAUUAGAAAGUGUAGGCUGGUUAAGGAUAAGAUACAUCUGUACAUCUGAACUUUAGAUUGAUACUUUGAUAGUGUACAUCUGAACAAGCCCUGAAAACGGUGCUGUUGAUUGUAGUUGGUCCUCCCAAUACGCUAAUUUCAUUACCCCUUUGGUUAAGCCUGACUUUUCAAACAUUUCUUAAAAUUUAGUUGGUACAGUGGAGUCCGGGAGGAAAAGGUGCUGAAGUAAUAAACUAAGAAAGUGGGUAUCAUGGAUAAGAGAAUAAGAGAUUCAGGGGAAAAAAAAACCAAGAUAAAAAGAGUUGCUUAAAAGGCUGAAUUGUCUGGAAUGUCGUCGCCAUGACAGGUGAAAGACAUGUUGUCUAGCACCAACGUAGCGGAACCAAUUAGGAAUAGAAUAUAGAUAGAUUGAGUUAUGACAUUCUCUUUCCAUUUUAACUUCUAUCUCUGCGUGAAUUUUAGACUUAAUUAUUGAAGAUCUAUGGCUAGGACAGACGCUUUCUUAUUCAGUACGGAGUAUGUACAUGGUUGCCUCCCUGAACUGCAGCUUUAGUUGUUCUUCACUAUGUGCUACUCAUAUACAUGAUCUGACCUGACACGCAAAAACUCUUAUGAAGGUGACAUUUUCUUUUCCUGCAUCUCAAGAAGAAAACCUUUUUCCUUUUGAAUUGCCGGCAUGUUUUCCCCUAAAGGAUUAUUUGGUGGAAAAAUGACAUUUCAUUCUAAUGAUCUCCUAAAAUAAACCAAACUAAUUCUAAUACCCUCUUAAUCAUCUUGUUUAUAAUCAAUUUGUUUAGUUACAAACAAAACAAGUUUAGAUUUCUAAAUGAUAAUUUUGAUUUAUUGUUUAGUAUUGAAGUGUUCUCUAAUUGUAUGGAAAUCACAUUCCACAUCCAUCUGUGCUACUGUCUCCUGUUUUUGUUUUCAUGCAACAUAGAUGACCAGUAUUGGAUACUAGGCAUGUAGCUAAUUGAUGUUUAUAUAGAGAUAAAGGCAACACUUGAGAGUAAAAAGACUAGUUAACAGAAUGUUUUGUAUUGAUAUGUAUGAUUGUAUGUUGUUUCACUUUGGUGAAUUGCCUUGAGCAAAGAUUGUACUAGCUAGCCUUGUUUUUGAUGUAUUUUGCUUGAACAAGUAUAAUUAUCUUUUGGUGAACUAUACUUGUGAAAGAAAAAUAAGUCAAAUUUCAUUUACUAAUUACAAAUGUAUUUAACAGUCUACUUCACUAAUGCUUUUCAAAGCAGGCAUCCAUGUCUUGUUUCCAUAACUCUCUUCAUCUGUUGGACAUGUAUCAUUCUGUUGCUUGGAAACUAGUUCAUCCAGUGAGAAAGCUCCAUUUUCUAGCAUCUCCUUCAGCUCCUGCUUGCUGAUAACCAACUUAAUGGUUAAACUCGUGUCUUGGCUCUUGCUUUCUUCCACUUUCUCUGGUUGAGCAAAACUUACCCUUUUUUUAAUUUUUGGAGAUUGAGUCGGAAGAAGUAUAAGGUAGUAUAGGCGACCAGCCACCAAUUCGAUAUUCUGCUUCAAAUACUGCAGGACUGGAAGUUUAUCUGACAGUCCAUAUCCCUGAAAUCCUGAUAACACGUCGUUCACUCUUACGGGCGCUUUGUAUUCAAGGAUUUUACCAUCAGGUUUCAAAAUUUGUACUAGAUUUCCUUGUGAUCUUAAACAGUUUCCCAUGGCUUAAACAGCUUUAUGUAUAGCUAUUGGAGAGAUUGUUUGUUCUCAGUGAACUAUUAAACUAGUAUGCUAUCAUGCUAUGUGUUUUUACAAGUUUUAAA